rnacentral:snRNA from 1 species
GGAUGUGAGGGUGAUCUGGCUGCGUCAUCUGUCACCCCAUUGAUCGCCAGGGUUGCUUCGGCUGAUCUGGCUGGCUAGGCAGGUGUCCCCUUCCUCCCUCACACUCCAUGUGCGUCCCUCCUGAGCUGCAUGCUCAGUCGAAGAGGACGACCACCCCCUGAGAGAGGAGGACCAUUUCCUCGGUCAAGGGUAUAGGAGUAGCUGCGCUUCCCUGCUAGAGCCUCCAAACAAGCUCUCAAGGUCCUAUGAGGACUUGCCAGGGUGGAAGACACUUGGCAGAAGUCCUGGGAGGAGCCAGUGUGU